AACGCUAGCUACAGGCUUAACACAUGCAAGUCGAGGGGAAACGACAUUGAAAGCUUGCUUUUGAUGGGCGUCGACCGGCGCACGGGUGAGUAACGCGUAUCCAACCUGCCCACCACUUGGGGAUAACCUUGCGAAAGUAAGACUAAUACCCAAUGAUAUCUCUAGAAGACAUCUGAAAGAGAUUAAAGAUUUAUCGGUGAUGGAUGGGGAUGCGUCUGAUUAGCUUGUUGGCGGGGUAACGGCCCACUAAGGCAACGAUCAGUAGGGGUUCUGAGAGGAAGGUCCCCCACAUUGGAACUGAGACACGGUCCAAACUCCUACGGGAGGCAGCAGUGAGGAAUAUUGGUCAAUGGACGAGAGUCUGAACCAGCCAAGUAGCGUGCAGGAAGACGGCCCUAUGGGUUGUAAACUGCUUUUAUAAGGGAAUAAAGUGAGUCUCGUGAGACUUUUUGCAUGUACCUUAUGAAUAAGGACCGGCUAAUUCCGUGCCAGCAGCCGCGGUAAUACGGAAGGUCCGGGCGUUAUCCGGAUUUAUUGGGUUUAAAGGGAGCGUAGGCCGGAGAUUAAGCGUGUUGUGAAAUGUAGACGCUCAACGUCUGCACUGCAGCGCGAACUGGUUUCCUUGAGUACGCACAAAGUGGGCGGAAUUCGUGGUGUAGCGGUGAAAUGCUUAGAUAUCACGAAGAACUCCGAUUG
rnacentral:rRNA from 1 species